rnacentral:lncRNA from 1 species
UUAAGUGAUUUAUUAAGGUGCAGUGACUUAACUACACAUAUUUUACAUCUCGAUUGAACGUUAAUGGAUUAAAAAAAUGUCAUGACCAAUUUCAGUCCAUUUCUAGUCGCUGGAUGCAGAAGUGGUGGUGACCUGGUGGGUUGGCACUGCUGUUGCUCUUUCACCCUCUUCGGCAACAGCAAUAGGCUUCACUGCUAGCUCACCCACAAGCAUUUCCUGUGAACUGGUGGGUCAUUGUGAUUUAGCAUGGUGUCUGCUUACUGAAAGGGACAAAUAUAGUUGUGCACGAAUCCAGGAACGUGGAGGGACGUUUUUUCCUCUUCCACAAUGCAAGUUGGUAACUAGAACCACUUGCAACAGAUGUCCAGACAACAAUUUGAAAGAGCAAAUAGAACAAUUUCAUAGGUCGGCUACAUUGAAGAUGGACAUGUGUUUAUAGCUGAAAAAAUUUCAGCAUGUUGGUAAGGUCAAAACUGUCUUUUCAUUUCAGAUUCAGUGGUGGUGGUAGUCCCCACUCCGACAGGUUUCGACUCAUAGCUGAAUAUCCCUCCAGUAUAGGGACAUAUUGUUGUCAACCUCUAAGCCGUUCGCUUGUUGACGAAAUCAGAUGCACGUGGUAAAAAUUCCGUUUCGAUGGGGUUUCAUGAACUACACACCUCACUAAAUACAACACAAAACAGGAUCUGAUCGUCUGGUCACAAACUUGUUCUGCCGCCUUUGGUGGAAACCUAUACUGGAAAUAAAUCACAUCUCGAACUUUGUUCUAUUCCAUGUGAACCCCAACUGUAAUGGGGCUGGCCAUCUCAUAAAAUGAUAGCGUUUCAUUCUAAAUCAGACCCUAAAAAUCUCGCACAAACUACUAUCUCAACGGUGUUGCGUUCUAUAAGGUAUGAGCACCUCCGUUGAGGUGGUAUAUGACCUCGCACACCCACUGCAUAAAUUAUCCAAAGAAGAUGGUACAAUACGAAAAUUUGGAGUAUAAAUCAAUUCCAACGGUGAGUACACUUCCUGAGAAAUUGAAGUUGCAUAUUAUGAGGAAACCACCACGACAGGACACUUCGAACGUAGAACUUGGUCUCUAUUCACGUUGUCCAUAGGAGCCGGGAGGUUGGCUGCUUUGAACAAUGAUGCGAGCCCAGCGUGUCCAGGCCCUUGGGAUCGUCUAGCUUUCAGCACUGGAGGCUGCCAAUCGCCAUUAACAACAAUUCCCGUUACAUUACCUGGCAUUAGCUGUUUCAGGUUCCCUCUUUGUGAAAACUCCGCUGAUUUCUGUAGAUUCGCAGUCCUGUUGGUGCCCUUGCGUGGCGGAGAAUUAACAUUUGAAACCCUUGUACCUCUGACAAAAUUAGGCAAAGUAUCACCGAUCGUCCGCUCGUAGGUAGAAAACCACUUAGAUAUCAUGUAUUCAGGUUUCCGCCAUGGUGGCAAGUGCAUCCCUCGCUCCUUCAACGACGACUUAACCGCACCAGUCAUGAAGUUGACAAUCCAGAGAAGCCGGUUCACCCUGCCAACGAAAAUAGUCGGUAAAAUUCGCACAAGGGUGUCAUAUUCAGCAGUUGGACGAGCUAUCUCGAAUUGGGCUUUGAAAUCAAUAUCUACUAUAAUCCUCUCGCUGUUUUUCACGGCUGUAGAGCCUUCAAAAUCGACGUCAACGUAUUCGUAUUCACCACCCGGAUGUUCUCCCGAGUGAUCCCACCUGCACUUGCAAAUUCCGGCCUUAUAACCAGCCUGGCGCAGGUGUCUCAUGACCUGGUCGGUAGAAAGAGACGAUGCUCCCUCGCCGUCUUUGGCAGCGACAACCGCCUUGGUUACCUCUUCAUGCAAAAUUCGCUCCCUAAUGUUGUCACGGUGCAGAGUUUCAGAAAGCUCUCUAACAAGAGUAGACUCGAUACCUUCGUCACCGCUGCUGGACCAUGAUGACCCAUGGUAUCGCGACCGGCCAUACACAGAUUUCUGAUCAACUCCCUCUUCCAAAAAUUCGUCAACCAUGGCGGCCAAACACACAGAGCUGGGCUCAAAUUGCUUCUCAUUUCUAGCACGCUUAUCAUCGAACAUGUCAAACGUGGACUCCAGAUCACCCACAUCACCCAGAAGCAACAUUCUGUUCUUCGUAAGAUUAGCCCUAGUCACACAUCCGACAGCCUGCAAAUCCGUCUGGCGACGACCCUUCUUAGACGGUGACAUCCGGACCUGCGUGAGAAGCGAACCUAAGCCUCGCUCCUCUUUCCCUCGCGUCAAGACCUGGAGGCUCGAGCUCCCAAUCUUUGACGAUACCCCGAAGGACUUCAUCGUCAGUAGUCUCGGCAUCUUUGCUGCCUCGAGAACGGCCUCUCAAAAGUCUAAAACCCUGCUAAUCUCUUAGAACACUUACCUUUCUGCUUGUGGAGACUUCCACCAACGUUAUCGACCAUAGUCACCGCCCACUGCACCCACCAUGGUUCCCCUCAGCACAGCUUGCUGAGCUCAAUCAAACCACUGUACACGAGCCGUCAGGAGCCCGAAACUAAAUGCCCAGACACAGAGCUCUAGACAAGAGCAUCAAACUAGCCGUUCCUGAAUGCAACAGCUCUAUGCUAAACUCCGGCAGCAGGCGGAAGAAACCGUUGGAGCUCGCGAGGAUCUUGCAACGAAAGCAUACUCACUCACUAUCAGCAAUAAUAUUGCUGUUGUCAUCGAAGAGCGUAACACAGCUCCCUCCCCGCAGGCCGCGUCUAAAAGUGCAGCGGACACAGGAGCGGAAGCCUACCAAACGAGACUCCUUGCUGGCCUAAAGCGCAAGCUGCGGACGGGUGCAUCGCACUUCCACGAAGCCGCACUAUCCACAUGGCAACCACGGCGCGUCCUUCGCAACGAUCGGCUCCGGCGUGAAUGACAUUUACUUGUGAGACGCGAUCGCGGUGUUGGCAGGGGGUAAUUGCCGCUCCGGGUUAUGGCGUCAUCGACUUGGACUUGUGUGUCACACGUUGUGGAUGAAAACUCACUUCAUCCAUGAGGUAUAUAUACACAUAUAGAUAUAUAUAUAUAUAUAUAUAUUUGUGGCACAAACACGAACAUGUGUUGGAUUAACCUGAGAAGAACAACAUUUCAUGUAUUGAAAUAUGUUGUGGAAUCCAUUAGUUUUGCAAAGCUUAGAGCAUUGAGAUAUGAAGUACAUGCUCACUAUGAAGGUUUUCGUUGUUUAAUAACUCAAGUGGUAUAUGCAUAACUAUGACAUUGUGAGUAAAACUUGGGCUCCAUUUAACUGAUAUACCUUUUUCUAAAUUCCAUAAUGCUAUUGGUCAUUAAAAAUACAUUAUAUUAUUUAUAGAUACUAUAUCAAGGUUUCAAAAUUUUAUGUUCUUUUUUAUUUUUUAUUUUUUAUUUUUGUUUUUUUAUUAAUUUAAUUUUUUAUUUGAUUUCCUCAACAUAUUUCUAUAGUUUUAUAUAAUGGUUAAUAAUUUCUAAUCAUAAGAGUAUUUGUAUCUUUUUAUCACCUCAAAUUUCUAUUUUAAAAGAUUUUGAGUUAUAUUAUUAAAAGUUAUUUUGAUUAUUUUAAAAUUAAAUUUUAUUUGAUUGAUUUUUUAAUAUUUUUUAAAUAAUUUAUUUAUAACUUCAUAAUAAAAAUAGAAAGUUGCUAAAGCAAUAUCUAUCAUGGAUAUAAAUAUUUACUUAGAUAAAAAAUAUUACAUAGACAAUUAAUAUAUAUAUACAUAUAUAGAUUUGAUAUUAUCUUAUGGCAAAGCUUCUUGGAAGCUUCAUAGACACAUAUUUGAUUUUAGAAGUGUUUGUAGUUGAUUGGUAGAUUAAAAACUUGGCCAACAAGCUCACCACAUGUCGCACAUUUUAGUAGCUUGUAGAACAAGUUAACUACAUGGCACUGUCGGAGUAGAGAGAAUUUGCCUCAAGAGAAUACUAGGCAUUUGGCUGCCACUAAUUUCUCAAUCAAGUCUUGAGAUAAGAAAGACUAAGUUUGUAUAUAUAUAUAUAUAUAUAAUACUUUUAAGAGCAAUUACCCCAAAUAUAUAAGUCUUAAGUUCCCAAAAAUACCCAAAAUAUGAUAAAAAAAAUUCUAAAUCCUUAUAUAUCCUUAUGAGGUAUUAUUUCCAAACUUCAAAAAUGUAUAUCUUCCAAUUGGACUAUCCAAACACAUUCAAAUUUUACAUAAAGUACUGAUGUACUUCUAAAAACUAUCACAACAAAUUUCAACUACAAAUUCAUCGUGGAUCUUAAGAUAUCACCAAAAUCCUAACAAUAGCUUUAAAUCCAAGUUUUUAUAUACUUGCGUGCAAAUUUCUUCAUAUCUCACAAAUUAAGCCUUCAAAUUCUACAAAAUUUAUAUAUAUAUAGCUUCUUAACACAAUAAUCUACCUUCUUCAAAAGGUUGAAGCCAAAAUUCGUCCAAAAACUCAAGAUAUAGCUCCAACCAUUACUAUGAACAAAAUCACUUACUUACUGCCUUUGAUUUGGAUGUGAUGACUUCAACCCUCUAUAACUUCUUCAUCCGAAUUCCAAAUUCAUCAUACAAUAUAUGAAAAAGACUAAUAAAAAAAUUGUUCUCUAAAAUCUCAAUCGUUGAUUUUUUGUUGCUUUCUAUAAAUGGAUGUUAUGCUCUAAAGAAUGAUAAUAGGUAUGAAAUUGACACCUUAACUUUGAGCACCAAUAACUCUUUCAUAAAAACUCCAAAUCAAACAAAAUUUGUAUCCAAUCUGUAUCCAAAAACCUAAACUUGAUGAUACUAGCCUCUAAAGCUCAAAUGACAUCGAAAGAGAAAGCCUAUUCCCUAAUAAGGCCUCGGGCAGCCUCUUUGAAGCCCAUUGGACAUGGCCUUCGACCAAUAGGAAUGAAGAUCCCAUUCCUUGCCUCCAUCCAACCAUGCUUUGCUUUCAUCCCUUCCAAUAAGUCUCCUACUAGUUUAGAUUUUCAUCUUCAGGCUCUAAUCUCCUCUCAAGGCUUCAUACUAAACAUUUAGGUUCUAUAAUUCUUUAAAUGCCAUAAUCAAAAUAGAUAAAAUUUAAAAUAAAUUUUCUUAUAUCCAAUUUAUUUAAAUUAAUCUAUUAACCAUUCUAAUAUACACCAAGACUUAUGAACAUACUAUAUGUUCUAACUAAUUUUUACAUACUAUAAGCAAUUAUUGUACGACAAUGCACAUAUAAUAAACUUGUCUUAUAAGUUAGAUACAUAUCUUGCAAAUUGGACACAUGUCAAAGGUCUUUUAGAACAUCACCAUGUAGCUUAUAAUUAGAUAGUAUAUAUAGAAAUAAGUGUAAAGUCUUUUUUAUUCUUUCUAAUGCUUUUCUAGUCUUUAGACUUAUUUCAAAACUUUUUAAUCUACUUGUCUUUAAUAAUAGCCAUUAUAAUUUAAUAUUAUAUCAAUUUUGAAUGAUUUUAUCAUGGACAUACAUAUUUAUUCUAAUAAAUAUCUAAGUAAUAUGAAUAGAUAGAAGUAGAUAAAAAUAAAUUAAUUUCAUAAUAUCUUAUAGAAAAGCUUUUUAGAAGCUUCAUACAUGCGAUUUUACUUUUAUACAUGCUGUCAAGGACAAGAACUCGAUGAAAAAAUAAUCUAGACAAGUGAGCCUUCACUCAAAGAAAGGUAAUAAAAUAUAAAUAAAUAAGUAUGUAUAUUGAAAGAGAAACUAGAAUGGCUAUUGUCAAAAGAUAAGAAAACUAGAGACCCUUGAAACUAGACUAGACGCAAGAAAGGAGUUGACAAGAGUGAAGAAGGCUUCACUCUUGUCUCUAUAUAUACUAUCUAACUAGGGGCUACGUGGCGACAUUCUGUAGGACCUCCAAUAUGUGUUGACUUUGUAGGACACAUGCCUUGACUUACAAGGCAAGUUUUUCUACGUGUGGGCCAUAUAGUUAGCUUGAUCUUCAAGCUAACAACAUGUGUGGCACAUGGCCAACUUGUUGACCACGUUUCUAAUCCAAAAAGUCAAUUAAAGAUACCUAUGAAAUCAAAGCAGUAUCUAUGAAGCUUCUAGGAAGCUUCCAUAUUAAAUACUAUAGAAUUAACUUACUUUUAUCUACUUUUACUUACUUCUACUUAUUUGUAUAUGUAAUUACUAGCUUACAUGAGUAUGUCCGUGACAUUACCCUCCUUUCUAAGGACGAGUUCCAUGAGAAGCGAUCAUCAUAUGUUGAGAAAAUCUAUGAUGCGACGAAUUGUAUUCGCCACAUACUCUUAUCUUUGUUCUCUUCGAAGAUGAUUGAUAGGGCCUCUCAACUAUCGGUAGUGUCCCAUACCAGGACGAGAAGACCACCUAGUUAUUUGAUCAUUGUUGAGGCCUUCAUAACUUCCUUCGAAUAGAAUAUUUGGAACACCAUCAAGAGUUGUUUCUAUCUCUAGCAAAAUCACCAAACAUCGGGAGUCCCUUCUCAAAUCGUGAUAUCAAAUGCAUUGUAUCUCACCAUCUAUUCGAGGAAGAACAUGUCGUUCUUGAAGAUCUUCAUCUCGAUUGCGUCGUCUUGAAGGUUGUGACAAUCAUAAUAUCUCGUCCGGCAGGUCAGUAAAUGAAGGCUCUUAAGUCGAAUCUACUGGUUGUUGGUUCUCUAUCUCCUGAACGUCACAACUAUAAAGAAGCUACGAACAAAGAUUGAAAGUAGAAUGUUGUCUUGCCUAGAUGUUGUUUCUUUUAUAAAGAAGGUUUUUAUCUUGAUUUUGAUGGAUAUCGUCGAUGAAAAGCUUCCACAGUCUUUGCUGCAUUUGCAAGAUUCUUUAUUGGCUCCCAUGUGCAUUCACUAAUAUCAUAUCUACGCCAAUGGAUAAGAUAUUCUAAUUUAUUUCGGCACCGCCCUCAAUCUAAGACUUCUUCUACUUCAAACUCUUCAUUAUUGUCCACUUCUAUAGGAGGAGGUGGAGCUUAUCGUCUUCUUGGUAUGUCCACUGUCUUGUAUGGUUCAAAAAGAGACACGUGGAAUACUGGAUGGAUUUUCAUUGAAUUUGGUAGAUAUAAACGAUAUGCAAUUAGAUUGAUUUGUGUAGAAAUAGAAAAUGGUCCCAACCUUUGAUAGUCCAACUUGUCACAAAGAUGAGUGGUCUUGAUAUUGCGAUGAAGUAGCCAUACCUUAUCACCCAAGAGAAAUGAUGGUUGUUCCUAUUCAUAGACAUCCGCAUUGACCUUUUGUUAUUCUUGAGCCUCUUUUAACUGCGCCUUUAUUGUUGCAUGUAGCUCUGAUAAAUGAAUCGCCAAAUCUUUCGCAGCAGGAUUAUCAACUUUUGAAAAGUCAAAAGUAUCAAGUCGUGGAUGAUAACCAUAAUUAGCAAAGAAAGGUAUUUGUUUUAUAGAAGAAUGUACCCUAUUAUUGUAAGCAAACUUUGCCAAUGGCAAAAGAGUUGUCCAAUCAUCUUGUUGGUAGUUAAUGGUACAUCUUAAAUAUUGCUCCAAAAUUUGAUUAACACGCUCCGUUUGUCCAUCAGUUUGAGGAUGGAAUGCUGAAGAUAGUUUUACAUCCACUUUUAGAAUCUUGAAAAGAGUCUGCCAAAAUCUUGAUACAAAUUGAGUUCCCCUAUCUGAUAUAAUAUCCUUGGAUAAUCCAUGAUAGCGAUAGAUAUUGUCAAGAAAGAACUUAGCUGUUUCUUCACCUGUGAUAGUUUUUGUACAUGGUACAAAAUGUGCUAUCUUAGUAAAACAAUCUACUAUCACAAAUAUAGAGUCAUAAGAACUUGAGAUUGGAAGAUCCGUGAUGAAGUCCAUAGAAACAAAAGACCAUGGUUGUUCUGGAAUGGAUAAUGGCUGAAGAAGUCCAAAAGGUCGAUGAGAAGGAGUUUUUGAUCUUGAGCAAACAUCACAUGAUUGUACAAAAUCUUUGACUGCCUUCUACAUUUGAAGCCACCAAAAAUCCCUAGAUAUCAAUUCCAAAGUCUUAUUAUAUCCAAAAUGUCCUGCUGUUUGGAAGUUGUGACGAGCUUGAAGAACACGUAAACGUGCUUCUCUUUCUGGAACAUAUAGACAUCCUUCAAAAUAGAGUAGGUUGUUCUUGAAUUCAAAUUUAGAGGGAUCAUGAGAUUUAGAAGAAUUAUUCUUGAUAUCAUGAACAAGAGGGUCUGAAGACAUACUUAACUGGACUUGCUUAAGAAAAGUUAAAUCAAUAGUCAAUGUUGAUUUUAUUGCUCGAAGAUGAAAUUGCUCCGGCUUCAAGAGAACCAUUCUUUGUUACUCAAAAGUUGCAUCUCCUUCUUUUGGUACAAGAUAAGAACGUCUAGAUAAGGCAUCAGACAAACCUUAUUGUUUUCCUGGCCGAUAAGUGAUGAUGAACUCGAAUCUUGAUAAAGACAUGCUCCAACGAGCUUGACGAUGAUUUAAUAUGCGUGCUGACAUAAAAUAUUCGAGGUUUUUGUGAUCCGUAUAUAUGGUAACUGGACUGGAAGUACCUUCUAGAUAAUGAUGCCAUUCUUAAAAAGAAUCGACAAUUGCAAGAAGUUCUUUGUCGUGGAUCUCAUAAUUGAUUUCUGCUGCUGAGAAUUUUCUUGAAUGAAAGGCUAGUAGAUGAAGUUUGUCAUCUGUUCCCAUUUGUGAUAAAACCGCACCCAGAGCAAAGUCUGAUGCAUCUGUUUCCAUAAAGAAUGCUUUAGAAAAAUCAACACGAUACAAGAUUGGUGCAGAAACAAAUGCUGUCUUCAAAGAUUCAAAAGCAACUUUCGCUUCUUGAUUCCAUUGAAGUUUGUCUUUACAAGUCAAAUGUGUAAGUGGAGUUGUAACUUGAGAGAAGUUUUUCAUGAAGAUUCGAUAGUAGUUGGCAAAUCUCAAAAAAUAUUAGACAUCUCUUACCGUUUUUGGGAUCUUCCAAUCUAUAAUAGUUUGAACUUUCUUAGGAUCCAUCAUAAGUCCAUCAUAAGUCCAUCAUUUGAAAUGAUGUAACCUAAGAAAUCGACUUAAGUAGUGUGGAAUACACAAUUUUCUAUCUUAGCAUAGAGUCUUGCAUCUCUUAAUUUUUGUAAUACAUGACGAACAUGAAGUUCAUGUUCUUCUAGAUUCUUAGAAUAGAUCAAGAUGUCGUCUAGAUAACAGACCACAAAAUCGUCCAAAAAUUCUCAAAAAAUAUCAUUUAUUAGAUGUUGAAAAGCUGCUGGUGUAUUUGUAAGUCCAAAAGGCAUGACGUUGUAUUCAAAAUGUCCAUACCUAGUUCGAAACGCAGUCUUCCAUUCAUCUCCUUCUUUGAUGCGUACUAGAUUGUAUGCUCUCCGAAGAUCUAUUUUUGUAUAGAUCUUAGCUUGAUUCAGCUGAUCAAGAAGUCCAGAUAUUAAAGGUAGUGGAUACCUGUUCUUGAUGGUAAUCUUGUUGAGUCCUCGAUAAUCAACACACAUCCACAAUAAUCCAUCUUUUUUCUUCACAAAUAGAAUUGGAGCUCCUGCUGGAGAUUUAGAAUGGCGUAUGAAACUCUUGGCUAGAUUUUCUUCAAUAUACUCCUUGAAUUCAGUCAACUCAUUUUGUGAUAAACUAUAGAUUGGUCCGAAUGGCAAUUGUACUCCUUCUUGAAGGUCAAUUGAGCAAUCAUAGGGACGAUGUUCCAGGAGUAUAUCCGUAUUUUUUUUUUCGAAUACAUCUUGAAAUUCUUGAUAUUGGCUUGGAAUGCCACUUGAAGUCUUUCUACUAGUAGGAACAGGUGUGGCAUAAAUAAUAUAUGGUGAUUCUUUCAUAGCAGCAUGCAAGAAAGCUUUUGCACCUAUAAAUACGGAUUUAAUUAAACUGGACUUAUGACUCUCUACUUGAUUAACUACACUAUUAGUUAUGCUUUUAGAGAAAGUAAGAGUUCGGGAAAUCCAAUCUAUUUGAGGGUUGUAUUUUUUUAACCAUGAUAAACCUAAAAUGAUUGGAUUUGAGGAAGAUCUAAUGAUAUUAAAUACUACAAAACUAUUAUGACCAUUAAUUAUUACUUCUAUAGGAAGGGUUUCAUGAGUAAUAUCUCCAGAAGAUAAUGGACGACCAUCUAUGACUUCUACAUGAACAGGUUUAGUUUUCUUUACUAAAGAUAUGCCAUGUUUUUUAGUAAAUUCUUCAUCUAAAAAACACACUAAGGCUCUUAAAUCUAACAAGGCAGAGACUUUGUAAUAUUUAGGUCCUAAAAUAACAUUUAAUGUAAAACAAGGAGAGGGCUUUGAGGAGAGAAUAGGACCUUUACUAGAUGUUGUGCAAGGUUCCAGCCGCACGGUUCCUAUUGUAGUUGGACAAACUUGUUUUUCGACAUAUUGUCUUCUUUCACAGCCAUACUCCUCAUUUUGUGAUUGUGUCGUUUCUUUGGACAAUGUUGAGCAAUGUGCUUUGGUUCUCCAUAAUAUAAACAUAAUCCUUCUUGAUGACGACGAGUCUUUUCUUGCUCAGUAAGAAGUUAGAAACGUAUUGCAUCAAUUUGCAUAUCCUCUACUUCCAAAUGUAUGUGUUGAAGAGGUGUUGGUGUUGCCAUUGAAUUAUAGUAACGUUGAGGUUUACUUGUAUGGUUCUUAGAUCGAAAUUUAAAAAGGUGAUUGUCGCCCUUCACAACAAAGUCAAUUGCUUGACUCAAUGUUUGAGGAUUAGGUAAGUUGAGCAUUAAUUUUUUUACCUCAUAUUAUAAUCCAUAGAGAAAUUGGCUAAUAAGUGCAGCAUCAUCCCACUUGAUAUCAGUUGCAAGUUGUCAAAAUUGUGAAGCGUACAAUAUUAUUGAUUGAUUAUCUUAUCGUAAAAUAUGGAUCUUAUUGGUUGUAACACAAAUUGCAUCAUGUUCUCCAUACAUGGAUCGAAACUCCGCCAAAAAAGCCUCUAGAUUAUUUAAUAUUAGAUCUCGUCGUUCAAGAAAAGAUGAAAACCACGAUAGUGCUGAAUCUGAAAGAAGCGUACCAAUGAAUCUAACUUGCGAUCCUCGAGUUGGGUAGCUUUGGGAUUGAAGUUCAAUCAGAAGUUACACUUGAUUGAUAAAUCCUCGAAACUUGGAUCUGGUGCCAUCAAAUUUCUCGAGUAGGAUAAUUCUUUGUUAUCUAACACUGGAAGGGUGUUACACCAAAGGAAAAAGGACAUGGUUUGGUGUAGAUGUUGAAGCAGCUCCAACCAUUUCUAUAUCUUCACUUCCUGCCAAUCUUAUUGCUCCUUGUGGUGGUAAAUUAAGUUGAUGCAUCGCAAGCAUUAACUCUCUCAAUUGUUCUUGCAUUUGUGCCAUUGCAUUCUUCAUUUAAACAAGUUUUGCCAUGGUAACACUUAGAAAAGAGAAGAUGUCUAAUAUUGCUCAAGACAAAUAGAAGAGAGGACUUGAGAACAAAGAAAAUACUAAGGAAAAUAUUAGUUUAGAAGAAGGUAAUCCGCAACUUCUAAUAUGAUUAUAUCUUAUCAAGAAAAAGGGAUAAUCUACUCUUAAUCAAGAUUAGACAAAGCUCUGAUAUUGUAGGUGUACUCUUGUCAAUCUGUCAAGGGCAAGAACUCGAUGAAAAAAAAUCUAGAUAAGUGAGCCUUCACUCAAAGAAAGGUAAUAAAAUAUAAAUAAAUAAGUAUGUAUAUUGAAAGAGAAACUAGAAUGGCUAUUGCCAAAAGAUAAGAAAACUAGAGACCCUUGAAACUAGACUAGAAGCAAGAAAGGAGUUGAUAAGAGUGAAGAAGGCUUUAUUCUUGUCUCUAUAUAUACUAUCUAACUAGGGGCUACGUGGCGACAUUCUAUAGGACCUCUAAUAUGUGUUGACUUUGUAGGACACAUGCCUUGACUUACAAGGCAAGUUUUUCUACGUGUGGGCCAUAUAGUUAGCUUGAUCUUCAAGCUAACAACAUGUGUGGCACAUGGCCAACUUGUUGACCACGUUUCUAAUCCAAAAAGUCAAUUGAAGACACCUAUGAAGUGAAAGUAGUAUCUAUAAAGCUUCUAGGAAGCUUCCAUAUUAAAUACUAUAGAAUUAACUUACUUUUAUCUACUUUUACUUACUUCUACUUAUUUGUAUAUGUAAUUACUAGCUUACAUGAGUAUGUCCGUGACACAUGUCUAUAAGUGAUGGAUAGAUUAGAAACUUGGUCAACAAAUUAGUCACAUAUUGUAUGUAUUGAUAUUAAGAAAAUAAGUACUUAGAAGACACAACACUUAGCAUCAGCAAGGUUGUACACAAAGAGAGUAUGGAGUAAGAUAUCUCUCACUUCCAACACCCAUUACUUAUAGGUAGUAGUUACUGCCCUAAAAGACAACGUCUACUCUUUGACUUUUAUACACAUGGCCCUAGGAUCCUUUUGGCAUCUCACGAGUCCCAAGUAUAUCCUAUGUCCAAUACUAAUUAUUCUUACGUCUUAUAUACAUGCUCUUAGGAUCCUUUGGCAUCUUACAAACUACGUGGGUAUCCUAUGACACACAUUAAUGACUCAUACUUAGUCUUUGGAUAUUCCCUUGUUAAUACUUUAUCCUUUUGACUUUGACUCUUGGUCCAUGACUUCGUCCUAUAUCCAUUGGAUGCCCUUACCAUAUACUAAGAGUCAAACCUUUGGCCACUAGUAACUUAUCUAAGGUAAUAUCCUAUAUAAGAUAAUAAUUUUUACUUUUACUUUAACACUCCUACUUUGCUAUUAAUCAAAUGUCUUUUAAGCCUAAUGCCUUUGUCAACAUGUGGUGUCUAUCCUUUACUAAUGCCUUUGUCAACAUGUGGUAUCUAUCCUUUACUAAUGCCUUUGUCAACAUGUGGUGUCUAUCCUUUACUAAUGCCUUUAUCAACAAAUCAGCAAGCAUGUCCUCCGUUGCACAAUACUUCAUAUCAAUCACUCCCAUUUCAAUCUACUCUCUUAUAAAGUGAUGUUGAAUAUCAAUGUGCUUGGUCCUUGAAUGAUGCUUUGGAUUCUUUAUAAAUGCAAGACAUCCUUGAUUAUCACACUUCAUUGGAGUUGCUUCUAUUUGUACAUCUCCAAUGUCCUCCAAAAGUUAUCUUAACCAUAUUGCCUCUAUUGUACCAUGGCUUGCUGCCAUAUACUUCGCCUCCAUUGUUGACCUUGUAAUUGUUGGUUAUCUCUUGCAAUUCCAUGAAAUUACUCCCACUUCAACAAAGAAUACAUACCCUAUUGUUGACCUUCUAUUAUUUACAUCUCCAGCCUAAUCCGCAUCACAAUAACCAUGCAAACUAAUAUUAUCACCUCCAAGGCAUAAUUUGAAGUUCAAAGUACCUUUUAAGUACCUCAUGAUCCUUUUGAUGGUUGUCCAAUAGAUAGAUCCAGUCCUUGACAUUUGUUGGCUCACAACACUCACCGCAUAUGCAAGAUCCACCCUUAAGCCAACCAUUGCAUACAUAAGUGAGCCCACUACUGCCUUCUAUGGAACACCUUAUAUUUGACCUUCAACUUCAGCAAACUCUUCAUCCUUGAGCUUUAUCAACUUCAAGUUUGCCUCUAAUGGUGUUCCAAUAGGCUUAUACUCCUCCAUGUUGAAUCAUUUCAAUACUUCUUCAAUAUACUUGCUUUGGCUCAUUGUAAUGGUCUUCUUAGCACGAUCUCUUACAAACUCCACUCUUAAAGAAUAGUGAAGCUUUCCUAAAUCACUCAUUUCAUACUCCUUUUCUAACUUUGCCUUCAACCAAUCCAUCAUCUUCAAUGUAUUGGUUAAAAUGAUCAAAUCAUCAAUAUAGAGGAUGACAAUCAAUAUGAACUCAUUUGAUUGUAUCACAUAUAAGAAAUGAUCAGCCUCACUCUUUACAAAUCCUUCACUCACAAAGAAUGUAUCAAUGCAUUGGUACCAUGCUCUUGGUGAUUGCUUUAGCCCAUAUAAGGAUUUCUUCAACUUACAAAUAAGGUGUUAUUUGCCUUCUUCAACAAAUCCUUGAGGUUGAUCCAUGUAGAUGUCUUCUUUCAAACUUCCAUUCAAGAAAGCCGUCUUCACAUCCAUUUCAUCCAUCUCCAAAUCCAUUGCUGCCCCAAUUGCCACAAUGGUUCUAAUAGUGGUGAAUUUGGCCACAGGAGCAAAUGUUUCAUUGAAAUCUACACCAGCAACUUGUGAGUAGCCUUUUGCAACCAAUCUAGACUUGUAUCUCAGAAUAUUGCCCAUUACAUCCCUUUUGGUUUUAAACACCCACUUACAACCAAUUGAAGAUCGAUUUGGUAGAAGUUGAGUCAAUUUCCAUGUUUCAUUAUCCAUGAGUGAUUUGUAUUCUUCUUCCAUAAAAUUCUCCCACUUCAAUGCAUUCGUGGACUUCAUUGCAUCACAUAAACUCAAUGGAUCAGCAAGAAGUGUAACAUUGGCAUGUUCUUCACUUAUUUGAGGAAAGAUGUGGUCCUUCCACUAUUCACCACAUGGUUUUAUUUCUCUCAAAGGAUAUCUCCUUUCAUUUGAAGAAGACCCUUCUUCUUGCAUUCUAUCCUUCUUCUUCAUCAAUGCUUGUCUUUUCUCACUCAAAGGUUGAUAUUCUUCAUCAUCAUCAUCACCUUCAAUAUCUUCAUUGUCUUCAUUGUUGGUUCUAGCAAUUGAAGGCUUACUAUGAUUUACCUUCUUUGGCACUUGAUCUUUACUUCUAUUUCCUCCAUCCUCAUUGUCAUCAUCAUCUUCUUCUUCUUCUUUCUUUACUGAACUUGAAGAUGUGUCCACAAACACACCUUUACUCCCACUUGGACACUCUUCUAAGUAUUCAAAAGGACUCUUAUGCUCCAAAAACUCUACAUCACGACUUUUGAUGAUCUUCUUGGUUUCUAAACACAUUAGCCUAUAUGCUUUGGUACCUUCACAAUAUCCAACAAAUACACAUUUUAUACCUUUUGCAUCAAGUUUGGACCUCAUACAAUCUGGUACCUUUGCAUAAGCAAUGCAUUCAAAAAUCCUCAUAUAUGAAAUGCAAGAUUUCCUUCCAUUCCAAGCUUCUUGUGGAGUCAUUGAUGUAAGUACACUUAUAGGGCACCUAUUCCUUCUGUACACUACAUUUACCACAGCUUCCGUCUAAUAAUCAUGCCCAAGGUUUUGUGUAUGAAGCAUACUCCUUGCCAUCUCCACAAUGGUACGAUUUGCUCUUUCAGCAACUCCAUUUUAUUAUGGAGUGUAAGAAGUAGAGGUUUGUCUUGCAAUACCUUGAAUCUUCAUGAAUUCAUCAAAAUACUUUGACAUGUAUUCUCUUCCAUUGUCCGUUCUCAAUACUUUGAUCUUACACUCACAUUGUUUCUCUACAACAGCCUUAAAUUCCUUAAACUUUGAGAGACAUUCACUCUUAGCUUUAAUGAUGUAAAUCCACACCUUUCUUGAGAAAUUAUCAAUGAAUGUAACAAAGUACCUUGCUCCUCCAAUUGAUGGUGUCUUCAUUGGUCCACAAACAUCUGAGUGCACAAUCUCCAACAAUUUUGUUGAACGUAUUGCAACUCCACUUGGAAAUGAAGCCUUUUAUUGUUUGUCUUGUAUACAUCCUUCACAAGCAAGUGUCAUGGCAUUGUAGUUGAAUUGACCAAGAUCCAAGCCACUUACCAUGGAUUAGAGCUCUUUCAUGCAUUUGGCAUUCAAAUGACCAAGUCGUUGAUGCCAAAUUUCAAACUUGUCUUGAUCUUGCGGAAAAUCAGCAAAUACUGCCACUUCAACUCCUUUCACCUUUUUGCAAUUGAUGAAGUAGAGAUUUCCAUCUCUAAGGCCUUUGGCAACAUGUUGGCCAUCCAAUGUCUUGACAAAACAUCCAUUCAUAUCAAAUUGAACCUUACAACCAUGUAAUACAAGUUUGCUCACCGAAAGGAGGUUUUUCUUCAUUUUUGGUACAUAUAGGACUUCUUUUAAUCUGAUCCUCUUUAUUUGGUCCUUCACAACAAUCUCCACUACAAUGGAGCCAAUUCCAAUGGCUUGUACCAUACCAUUGUCUCCCAACCACACUUUUGUUGCUGAAAUUUCUUCUUAAGUGUCAAAUGAACACUUGUAUGGUGUCAUGUGCUUAGUAGCACCUGAAUCUAUAAUCCACUUUGACAUGGCAGCCAUGGAGGCUCCUUCUUUUGCCAUGAAAGCAUACUCAUCUCCACCAAAACUAUCACUAGCAUUGUUUGCAUUCUCCCUAUCUCCUUUCUUAGCCUUGUAGCAAUUUCUAACAAAAUGACCUAGUUUUUUAUAAAUAUAGCAAUUCUUCAUAUUGCUUUUUGAAUUAUCAUAUUUGUGAAAAUAGCUACCUUUGCCUUGUCUUGAAAAUAGAGCCGAAUCAUCACUUAGAAGCUUUUUUUCUCUCCUCUUGGUCACUUCAUGGACAAGUCUUGACAUGACAUAGUUCAUGGUAAGCUCCUUCAUAUUGAUGGACUCCAAUGCCAUAAUGAGGUAGUUGUAAGAUUCGAGAAGGCUCAUGAGCAAUGUCAAUACAAUGUCCUUAUCAUCAAUUAGUUUGUUAACAACUUCUAGUUGGUUAGCAAGUGCUUUUACCUUGUUAACAUGAGCUAUGAGGUCAUCUCCUUCUUCUAUCUUUAUUGUCAAGAAUUUCUUCCUUGUCCAAAGGAUGUUGGCAAGGUUUCUAUUCUCAUAGAUGUUGCAAAGAGUCUUCCAUGCUUCUGUUGGUCCAUUGCAAGCUAUAACAUGUGAAAAGUUGGCAUCAUCAAGGUUUGUUGCAAUCAUCCCAAAAGCCUUCUUUUCACAACGUUUGUACUCCUUCUUCACUUUGAUAUCAACAUUGUCACUUGGAGGGUCUUCACUUUCAUCAAUAAUGUCCCAAAGAUCCAAUGAAGCCAACAAAAGCUCCAUUUUCUUCUUCCAAUGGUAAAAGUUGUUACCCGUAAACUUUUCAAUUACUCUCAAGCUCUCACCUUCACUUGAAGCCACGUCUAAGGAAGGGAUGUAUGAAAGAAAAUCAAGAAAAGAAGAUAUAGAACUCUCAAAAUCAAUCAGAAGGUGUUGUUGCGUUAGAAACCCAAAAUGCCCUCUUUGUAAGUAAACAAGUGAUUUCACUCUUGUAUCACUCUCAACUUCACAUAUAAGACUUCUCAUAAGUCUUAUACUCUAUCUGAACUUCUUGUAUAAGCUUUGCCACUCUUCAAUCACCCC